GCUGGUAGCAAGAGUCUGAAGGAGCUGAGAGGCUGUGCUGCUGGAGGACUGAGAAGUACAAGCGUUAUCAGACACCAGGAGGAAGGUCCUGUGAUCCGGGUUUGCACAGACAGCAAUUUUUCCAGCAGAGACCGUCAAAUGUGGUAGCCCUUGAGGGAAAAGAUGCCGUUCUCGAGUGUUGUGUUUCUGGGUUUCCCACACCCACCUUCACAUGGAUGCGAGGAGAUGAAAUUAUUCCUGUCAGAUCCAAAAAAUAUUCAUUACUGGCUGGCAGUAACUUACUUAUUUCUAAUGUGACUGAUGACGAUUCUGGGACGUACACUUGCAUUGUCAGCUACAAGAAUGAGAACAGUAGUGCCUCUGCAGAGCUCACAGUUAUGGAUGCAGCACAUUCAACAGUCUGCUGCCCCACAUAAAGAAGAUAUAUGGCCAAAGAGAGGUUCAGAAUUGUAUUCAAUGAUGCAUUUGAAGAUAAUGUGGUGCAGCAAAGAUACAAUGCAGACUUAACUACAAACACUGAACUACUAUAGUUUCUGCUCUAAACCAGAUCUACCAGCACCAGUGACAGUGACUGUGCGUGCUUUAGGAAGAAGGAGAGAGAAAACAGUGAUUUAGGGAAAAGGGGCAAAAGGCAACCGAGUGGAAGAUUUUGGUCUCCACUGAAGGAGAACUUUAUUCUUUUAACCAUGAUAGCCCUUCCCCAAAUGUUAUACUAUAGUAUGUAUUUAGGAGUAUUAAGAAUUUUAUAUGUGAUCUCUUGGAAAUAAAGGUUCAAUUGCUGUCCUUACUCAAGCAAAACGUCCACAGAUUUCAAUGGGAGGUCUGAUUGCAUAUGGCAAGCAGGAUUUGACCCGAAGCAUAUGGAUGCUCUAUUGAAGAUUUUCUCCUUGGAAUACUCUAUUUUCUACAGUCAUAAAAGUCAGUCACACCGCCGUUCUGUAGCCAUUCUAUUUUACUAGGAAUCAUGGGAAAUUAGACAUCACUUGCUAAACAGGUCACAAUUCAAAUUGUGCCGAGCCAGCUAAAUUCCUAAAUCCCGUUAAUAAUUCUCACUUGGUAGCAUGGGAGCCACAAACCAGUAAGAUUUGAUAAGAUGACUAAUCAGUCAGAAUGUGAAAGCUCUUAAAUGGAGAACUCUGGGUAAAUGAAAUAGUGCUUAUGAAAAUGAAAAGGAAGAAUGAAAAAAGACUUGAGUCUGCGCCACUAAUAACAAUCAAGUCUCCUGUUGGAAAUUGUUUUUCUAAGUAGAAACCAUAUUAGCAUAUUGCAGGAAUUUCUUUGGAAAAAAAUUAGUGACAUGCCACUGACUAAAUAUAUCAUCGACAACAUAUUAAGGUUCAAAAUGAGAUGUUUUAUAUACAGAUGCUCAAGUCAAGAUCCCCCCCACCAAGUGUGAAUUUUAGUGUUUCUAAAAGGUGCCAGAUGAAGUCUUCUAUACACAAUAUACACAGCAGCAGUGACUUCCUCAUAAUAUAGAGACAAUCUGAAAGGGUAGUUCAGUCUCCAUGUGAAUUCAGUUCUUGCAUUUCUGCUUACAUUACUGAAAGAAAAGGAGAUCAACGCCAAUUGUGGUCGUGAAUUUUUGCAAUGCAGACUUCUGUCCUCUGCAAAACCACAAAAAUCAUUUCACAUAUGGGCACCUGACACUAUAGUUAGUAAUAGUGUUCAUUUUCCACUAACCCACUUAAUUUUUUAGCUAAGGGAGAUCACAGCUGAAGAUUAAAGAUGAAUCGUUCUAUUUCUUAUUGUAUGAGCCAUUCACUCUCUUCUCUCUACUACUGCUAAAGCCACUUGAUUUUCGUUUUAGGA